rnacentral:rRNA from 1 species
UUCGCAAUGCCCGAAAGGGUGACGAAGCGACGCCGCGUGUGGGAAGAAGGCCUUCGGGUUGUAAACCACUGUUGGGAGUUAGGAAGUGUGGAGGUGUUAAUAGCGCUUUCACUUGACUAAAGCUCCAGAGGAAGCCACGGCUAACUCUGUGCCAGCAGCCGCGGUAAUACAGAGGCGGCAAGCGUUGUUCGGAAUUAUUGGGCGUAAAGAGCACGUAGGCGGCUCUGCAAGUCAGCUGUGAAAGCCUUCUGCUUAACGGAAGAACGGCAGUUGAAACUACAGGGCUUGAGUACGGGAGGGGAGAGUGGAACUUCUGGUGGAGCGGUGAAAUGCGUAGAUAUCAGAAGGAACGCCGGCGGCGAAAGCGGCUCUCUGGUCCGUAACUGACGCUGAGUGUGCGAAAGCUAGGGGAGCAAACGGGAUUAGAUACCCCGGUAGUCCUAGCCGUAAACGAUGGGCACUAAGUAGAG